GAGACCCACGCCCACAGUUGCCAGCGUUCCCUCCGGGGAGAUGGGUACACUGUGGGGACCGCCGCUGCUAAAGAGGAGGAAGGAAUGGGCAACGGUAGGUCAGCAUGCCCCGAAUUACCCGGGCUACACGCGGGCUACAAUGGACAGGACAAUGGGAAUCGACACCGAGAGGUGAAGGCAAUCCCCUAAACCUGCCCUUAGUUCGGAUUGUGGGCUGCAACUCGCCCACAUGAAGCUGGAAUCCGUAGUAAUCGCGGAUCAACAUUCCGCGGUGAAUAU
rnacentral:rRNA from 1 species